UACGGGGGGGGCAAGCGUUGUUCGGAAUUACUGGGCGUAAAGGGCGCGUAGGCGGCCUUCUAAGUCAGACGUGAAAUCCCUCGGCUUAACCGGGGAACUGCGUCUGAUACUGGAGGGCUUGGAUCCGGGAGAGGGAUGCGGAAUUCCAGGUGUAGCGGUGAGAUGCGUAGAUAUCUGGAGGAACACCGGUGGCGAAGGCGGCAUCCUGGACCGGCAUCGACGCUGAGGCGCGAAAGCCAGGGGAGCAAACGGG
rnacentral:rRNA from 1 species